UCAUUUGGUUUCUGCUACUGCUGCUACUGCUAAGUCACUUCAGUCGUGUCCGACUGCAACCCCAUAGACGGCAGCCCACCAGCCUCCCCCGUCCCUGGGAUUCUCCAGCAGACUCCAAAGUACCUGUCCUUUCUAAACUCGCACAAGGGAAGCUCGCCCAAACACUGCCUGGAUUUUAAAUCAUAAUAACCAGCCUCUGUGACUCAAACACUGAAACAAUAUGGCUGCACACAGGGUCCUGGGAUCAGGUUGCCAUGAAACAUAACUACCUCUAUGCUAAGUUGCUUCAGUCAUGUCCAACUCUGUGCGACCCCAUAGAUGGCAGCCCACCAGGCUCCCCUGUCCCUGGGAUUCUCCAGGCAAGAACACUGGAGUGGCUUUCCAUUUCCUUCUCCAAUUAAUGAAAGUGAAAAGUGAAAGUGAAGUCGCUCAGUCGUGCCCGACUCUUAGCGACCCCAUGGACUGCAGCCCACCAGCCUCCUCCAUCCAUGGGAUUUUCCAGGCAAGAGUACUGGAGUGGGGUGCCAUUGCCUUCUCCGAAUUACCUCUGUACCUAGGUUAAU
ensembl:lncRNA